UACACUCCUACGGGAGGCAGCAGUGGGGAAUUUUACGCAAUGGGGGAAACCCUGACGUAGCGACACCGCGUGAGCGAAGAAGCCCUUUGGGGUGUAAAGCUCUGUCAGCUGGAACGAAAACAAUGACGGUACCAGCAGAGGAAGCAUCGGCUAACUACGUGCCAGCAGCCGCGGUAAGACGUAGGAUGCGAGCGUUGUCCGGAUUUAUUGGGCGUAAAGAGUUCGUAGGUGGUUUGUUAAGUUUGGUGUUAAAGAUCGGGGCUCAACCCUGGGACUGCACUGAAUACUGGCAGACUCGAGUGUGGUAGAGGCUAGUGGAAUUCCCAGUGUAGCGGUGAAAUGCGUAGAUAUUGGGAAGAACACCGGUGGCGUAGGCGACUAGCUGGGCCAUAACUGACGCUGAGGAACGAAAGCCAGGGGAGCGAAUGGGAUUAGAUACCCCCUGUAGUCCCA
rnacentral:rRNA from 1 species